rnacentral:tRNA from 4 species
GCCCUUGUAGCUCAACGGUUAGAGCAGCAGACUCAUAAUCUGUUGGCUGUAGGUUCGAAUCCUACCGAGGGCA